rnacentral:rRNA from 1 species
CGUGUAGGCGGCUAUGCAAGUCGGGUGUGAAAGCCCUGGGCUUAACCUAGGAAGUGCACUCGAAACUGCAUAGCUCGAGUCCCGGAGAGGAUGGUGGAAUUCUCGGUGUAGAGGUGAAAUUCGUAGAUAUCGAGAGGAACACCGGUGGCGAAGGCGGCCAUCUGGACGGGUACUGACGCUGAGACGCGAAAGCGUGGGUAGCAAACA